UUUAUCCAGGACCUCAUAUAAUGCAAGUUUUUCUAAUCAUGGGAACCUUAUUGACUAAGCAAACAAAAGCCUGUAAUUUUUUAUCAUUGUUUGUCAGUACAUUCCGUAAUUUACAAGUUUGAAUUGUAAUGGUCAAUGUUAAAGUUAUAUUAGGAAUACUAAUUUUACUAAGCUUAUUUUUCUUUCAGAUGACAUUAAAGUAUCAGUAAAUGACUUUAUCAUCAAGGCAGCAGCUGUUACCCUUAAACAAAUGCCAGAUGUUAAUGUAAGCUGGGAUGGAGAGGGCCCAAAGCAACUGCCAUUUAUUGACAUUUCAGUGGCUGUGGCAACAGAUAAAGGCUUACUUACACCAAUCAUAAAAGAUGCUGCUGCUAAGGGUAUCCAAGAAAUUGCUGACUCUGUAAAGGUAUGUCUUAAGAAAGAGUGUGCUUUCAAAAUGUUAGCAUAUACUUCUGGAUAAUUACUUUCUGAUAAAGUCGUGACGUAAUCUAGUCAGACUGUGAUUUUUGUAUGUGUGAAGGGGAGAGUUAUUUCAUCAAGUGAUUGUCACAUAUAUAUA
rnacentral:sRNA from 1 species